rnacentral:lncRNA from 1 species
GCAUUUGGCGGGAUCUGUGUCUCUCGCUGGUGCUGGCACAGGAGCUUGGGAUCUGUCUCCUCUUUCGCCUCCUGCACCUUGAGAGCCCUGGGCUACUCUGUCACAGCCCCUGUUGCCCUGCGAUCUGUAGGUCCUUGGGGACGCAUAGUUAAGGUGCCAGGACAUCCUGGAAGCUGGGAAAUGACCAUGGCUGGAGAAGGAAAGAAGGUGUGUUUUGCCUGAUUCAGGGACUAUAGAGAGAACCAAGUUCUGCAGGCCUGUCAUCUAAGUCUCAGGGCGGGGAGACCUUCCUUCCCCACGGGUUUGAGGCUAUGGCUAAGUGGUGAGCCUUGGUGAGACGCAGAAAGGAUCCAUCCCAGGCACUUGGCUAGAGGCUGAAUGCUAUCCCAGUGAUUGUACGUGCCCUGUUUGCUGAAUCUACUCAUCCUUAAGGGUACAUUUGCUUCCAGGUAACAUGUUUGUGACUAAUACUACAAUGUGCAUAUAUCUAUUCCAUGUUCUGCUUUGUCUGUUUGGGAUAUUUUUCAUACACUGAUUCAGUACCAUGUGUAUUCCCUUGCUUUUGUUGUCUCAUCCGUUGAUGUUACGUCCCCCAAAUUAUUGCCACGACCAGUUGUCAUGAAGCUUCACCCUUCUGUAUUGUGCUAGGAAUUUUACAGCUAUAGGUUUUACAUUAUAGUCUUCAUUCAUUUUUUAAAAUUGACACAUGUAAUUGUGCAUAUUUUGGGGAAACAAUUAUAUAUAUAUGUUGUAUAACAAUAAAAAUCAGAGUACUUCUAUA